rnacentral:rRNA from 1 species
UACAGAGAUGGCAAGCGUUGUUCGGAAUCACUGGGCGUAAAGGGCACGUAGGCGGUCUAGCAAGUCGGGUGUGAAAGCCCCUGGCUCAAACAGGGAACUGCGCCCGAAACUACAAGACUUGAGGAUGGAAGGGGAGAGUGGAACUUCUGGUGGAGCGGUGAAAUGCGUAGAUAUCAGAAGGAACGCCGGUGGCGAAAGCGACUCUCUGGUCUAUCCCUGACGCUGAGGUGCGAAAGCUAGGGGAGCAAACGGG